rnacentral:rRNA from 1 species
CCCGCUGAACUUAAGCAUAUCAAUAAGCGCAGGAAAAGAAACCAACAGGGAUUGCCUCAGUAACGGCGAGUGAAGCGGCACCAGCUCAAAUUUGAAAUCUGGCCUCUCGGGGUCCGAGUUGUAAUUUGUAGAGGAUGUUUUGGGUACCGCCCCGGUCUAAAUUUCUUGGAACAGAAUGUCAGAGAGGGUGAGAAUCCCGUCUUGGACCGGCGGUAGGGCCUGUGUAAAACUCCUUCGACGAGUCGAGUUGUUUGGGAAUGCAGCUCAAAAUGGGUGGUAAAUUUCAUCUAAAGCUAAAUAUUGGCCAGAGACCGAUAGCGCACAAGUAGAGUGAUCGAAAGAUGAAAAGCACUUUGAAAAGAGAGUUAAACAGUAUGUGAAAUUGUUGAAAGGGAAGCACUUGCUACCAGACACACUUGCAAUUAAUCAACCUCCAUUUUUGGUGGUGCACUUGGUUGUAGGUGGGUCAGCAUCAGUUAUAGCGGUAGGAAAAAGACUGUGGGAAUGUGGCUUCUCCUGGGAAGUGUUAUAGCCCAAAGUGUAAUGCUGCCUGCUGUGACUGAGGACCGCGCUUCGGUGAGGAUGCUGGCAUAAUGGUUGUAAGUGACCCGUCUUGAAACACGG